rnacentral:lncRNA from 1 species
UACCAGUAGGAAAUCAUCCCAUGGGCCUCCUUCCCACCCUGACCCCCUCUCCUCAACCCAGGGCUACACCCAGGAAUCUCUCAGAUAGGGCAAAGUCUAUUUAAGUUCAACCCAUGAAAAGUCUUCCUCCUUUCUCCCCCCAGCCCAACCCUGCAAAUACUUACUCUUCUUGCAGGAGGAACACUGGCAUGAUUGGCAUUUGCAGGAGCCUGCACAGGUGCAAGAGGCACCUUGAGAGGAAAGGAGGAUGGGAGAGAGUCAACAGAGAUAGACCAUAUCCCUAGACAAAUUUAGGAGUAGGUGCCAGACCUGCGAUCCUCCCACUACCCCAGAAAAGUAUCAUCUCCCAUCAGAAACCAGAGCCCCAAACCCUCAUCUUUACUGUUCUCCAUGCUCUGUCACAUUGCCUGCCCCUUUCCUAAGGGAGCCCCUGUUUAGAUGGAACCCUAAGUAAGGUCUGUCCUUGGUUCAAAAGAGCACUUCAAGUCUACCUCAUCCCUGGGGCCAUGACUGUUAAGCAUAUUUGUGGUUUAUAGCUUUAAUUCCAAAAAGCAGAGGAGAAAGGACUAGUACUUCAUUUUAAAACAAAAUCAGUCUCCUUUCCCCUGACAUUAUGACCUCUUUUCUCCUUAGCCAACAGUCCUGUCCUCAAACCAAGACUGAGCUGUCCCAGGAUGGGAAGAGCAACCCUGGCCAGUAGGUUGUUUCCAGAACCCAGGAGUGCCUUACCAUUCUCGCAGUUACAUUUGGGAUCCAUGGCUGGCAGAAUCAGAGUUGGAGGGAACCUUAGCGGCUAGAUCCAAUUCCUUCCUGAAAGGAAUCAUCCAGCCUGUGCUUGAAGGCUCUCCAGAAGGAAGAGAUCACCACCACUCCCAUCUCUCAAGGCAGCACAUUCUAUUUGGGGACAGUUCUAAUUGUGAACAAGUUUUGUCCCCUGACACCAAGUGUAAAUUUGCUUCUUUGCAACACCCAUUCAUCACUCCUACUUUCCCCUUCUGGGCCCAAACCAAACCAAUUUAAUCUCUUUUCUACAUGACAACCCGGUGAAUACUUGGAGACAGUUAUUACAGCCUCACUAAGUCUUCUCUUUGUCAGCUAAACAUUC